UCAAACUUGGUCAUUUAGAGGAAGUAAAAGUCGUAACAAGGUUUCCGUAGGUGAACCUGCGGAAGGAUCAUUACCAAAUUAUAGGCCGGUCUGACCGGUUCUAUUCUACCCUGUUUUUUGCGUACCCUUUGUUUCCUCGGUGGGCUUGCCUGCCGAUAGGACAAUUUCAACUCUAUGAUUUUUAGCAAUCAGCGUCAAAAAAUUACUAAAUUGUAACAACUUUCAACAACGGAUCUCUUGGUUCUGGCAUCGAUGAAGAACGCAGC
rnacentral:misc_RNA from 1 species